rnacentral:lncRNA from 1 species
UCUCCCAAGUGCUGGGAUUAAAGGCAACCACCGACCGGCUUUACCCUUUGAUUCUUUGACGUGACUGAACUUGCUUCUAUGGGUGCUUUUAUUCUUUUAUUUUUAUUUGUUUAUUUUUUGCUUAUUACUGUGAAUGUGUAUAUUCUUCUCAAUUUUUUCCUUAUAUUUAUCUGUUUAUUGUAACGGAGUUGCACAUGCCAUUGUGUUUCAGAUCAAGCAUGUGUGGCUAUGAGGGCGCUUUCAGGAGUUAGUUCUCUUUGAGUUCUGGGGCUCAGACUCGGGCUAUUAGGCUUGGUGGCUUGCUGAGCUGGCUUGUCUGCCCUAGUUUGUUUUUUGAGCUAGAAUCUCACUGUGUAGCUCAGGCUAGCCCUGGAGCCACUGCCCCACCUCCUGAGCACUGCAGUUGUCUACUCUUAAAACAAAACAAAACAAAACAAAACAAAACAAAACAAAAAACCAAACAGGACCUUUUCUCUUCCAUUCCUCUUUGACAUAGGCUCUGGCUAUGUAGCCCAGGCUGUCCUGCAGUCCACAAAUUUGAAAGCCUCCUUAGUCUUCCGAGUGCUGAGAUUAUGGGCGUGCACCACAUCCAACCAAAAGUAGAAGUUUUAGUUUUCUUUUUUCUUUUUCCUUUUUGGUUUUCGAGACAUGGUUUUUCUGUGUAGCCCUGGCUGUCCUGGAACUAACUCUGUAGACCAGGCUGGCCUCAAACUCAGAGAUCUGCCUGCCUCUGCCUCCCAAAUGCUGGGAUUAAAGGCGUGCACCACCACUGCCUGACCAGCAGCAGCAGCUUACCAUUCUUAUCUUGGAGGCUGGGAACUCUACGUAGACCAGGUUAGACUCAAGCUCAGAGGAAUCUACCUGC